CAAAGAGUCCAGUCCAUCCCCCUGAUGGCAGGCAGCAAAGAAGAACCUCACAUGGCAGAUGACAUAUGUGCUGGGUUUUGAAGUUUGCACUGCUUUUGGCCAGACAGAAGCCAAAUGCCCAAGACAAUUUCUCGUGUCCCUAACACUUUGAGGUAGAUGUACUUUACCAAGGAGCAAAGAGAUGCUGAGAGAAGUGUAGCCACUGAUCCCUGUGAACAGGUCUGUCUGUUCACAACUCUUUCCCCAAAGCCGAGCUGUCUGCUCACCCACGAGGACAGAGCCAUCGAUAUACAUCGUCGCUUCUCACGGUCUGCCCAAGCAUCAGCACACAAAUACCAGUGGGCGUCGGAAACCCAUAACCCUCCUGAAAACCAAACACUGCAAAGCUCUUAUCCAUUUCCUGUUUUUGCGGACAGGUUCCCUUUACACAGAAGCUUCCUCCAUCGGCAGCAAAUCCAUGCCCUGCUCGUUAUUUGUGGUGCCUGAGCCCUUGUUCACUUGUGCUUCCCGAGGGGCCUGACAGAUCCAAUGGCCAAGCCCGAGAGGUAGUGACUGUUUCCAUGUGAGCUGGAAGGAGGCUGGCUGAUGGUUUACC